rnacentral:rRNA from 1 species
GUAACCCUCUUCAACCUGCCCUGGAGACAUGGACAACCCCGGGAAACUGGCAUUAAUCCGUGAUAGGUCAUCUCAUCUGGAAGGAGAGAUGGCUUAAAGGGAUGCGCGGGCUUCUUCUGCGUAUUUGCUCCAGGAUGGGACUGCGUCCGAUCAGGCUGUUGGCGGGGUAAUGGCCCACCAAGCCAGUAACCGGUACGGGCCUUGAGAGAGGUGGCCCGGAGAUGGACACUGAGAGAAGGGUCCAGGUCCUACGGGGCGCAGCAGGCGCGAAACCUUCGCAAUGCGCGCAAGCGUGACGAGGUUAAUCCGAGUGAUUUCCGCUGAGGAGACCUUUUGUCUGCUGUAAAUAGGCAGGCGAAUAAGGGGAGGGCAAGCCUGGUGUCAGCCGCCGCGGUAAUACCAGCUCCUCGAGUGGUCGGGGCGAUUAUUGGGCCUAAAGCAUCCGUAGCCGGUUCCGUAGGUCCUCUGUUAAAUCCAACCGCCCAACGGUUGACCUGCAGAGGAUACCGCGAGACU